GCAAUUUUCCUUUAAAUUAGGCAUGAAAAGCUAAUUUUCCCUAUUUUAUAAUUUAGACCAUUCAAAAUAUAUAAUCCCAAGUACACUUUUCAAAUUAACGACAUCUACUUGACUGUUGCUCUAACUCGUCGUCCAAGGUUCAGCAGCUGUUCUGUAUCCCAACGAGCCGACGGCGAUUGAUCACAAUUCAACCAACAAAGACACAAGUUUCACGGCCUGUGAAACCCUAUUUGCAAGACUUACGGUUUACAUCUUGUUUCAUGGCCCAGAAAGAGGAGCGAUUACCGAACAGAGACGACCUCGCCGAGUCGCUUAAUGAAUUCUUCACCAGCGUGUCGGAAAUGAUCAAAUCGGACCUUCUUGUGUGGAUCAAGCAAUCAGCUGGAACUUUUAGAGAGAAUGAACUUGAGGGUGGCUGAAGAGUACAAAGGUUUUGGGGAUGUGGCUUCUGGAAUGAGGGUUUUUGUGGAGCAGUUGAAGUCAAAGAGUGGUGGGUUUGACGAGUAUAUAAACCAAAUUGAGAAGAUAGAGCAUCAGGUGACCGAAUUUGAAGCUGUAAUUUCAAUGCUUGAUAAGCAUGUUUCCAUGUUGGAGUCUAAAGUGUUGUCUGUUUGUCAAAACACGCCUUAAUGAAGAGAUGAAUUUUUUUCAUCUACAAAUCUCAGAUCGCUUCUUUUAUGAUAUCUUAUUCAUUGGAAGUUGGCGGCGCAAAAAAGUUAGCAUCUUCUUCCUUUCCUGCUAGGUUUGUAGUGUUCUUUUAUGGUUAUGGGAAAUAGCACUCUUAGAAAUCGUUCUUGGUGA